CACAGUUGUUGCAAGUCAAACUCCAGGCAAUGAUAGACCAGAUCUUCAGGAAUACAGAAGAGGGAGUCAAGAUUGUGAAGAAGUUGAAGUUAAUUCUUCUACUUUGGAGGCUAUUGUUGCAUCUGAAAUAAAUAAUACAACAAUCAAAGAAAUGACAGAUCAUACUUACAAAAAACGUGGAAAAAGCAGUUCUUCUAAAGACACCAAUGAAUUAUUACUGGCAGGCUCUGUGUCACCAGUCAUGUACAAUGGGAUCAACUUGGUCGACAUUGGCUGCCUUCCGUCGUCUCCUUAGAAAUUUGCUAGAAAGAUCAUGGAGAUCUUGUUUACAGCGAAGGAGAUGAUGGAUGGUACUCUUUACAAGAAACGUUUUUCAAAGUCAAUGACUAAGAAGCCUCUCUUAUCUCCAUCAAGACGGGAAUUGAUAAUGAAAUGUUUGAUUGAGAAAUGUAGUCAAUCAUUCUAAAAGAGUCCUUGAACGCAAUUCAGCAGUCACUUAAUCAGAAGUGCCAGGAUGUGGCGAGCUCAAGAAGACACAAGGCUAAAAGAGAGCUGUUUGAAAGUAGGGAUCUCACCCAGAAGUCUGUGCUCUUCAAGUGACGAGGAUUAACAUUAGACUGUAGUAGAAUUGCAAUUGCAUGGGUAUUACAUGUAUAUACUUCAUAGCUAUAUGAUGAUUAAGGUCUUUGAAAAUAUUGAA